rnacentral:rRNA from 1 species
UACAGAGGUCUCAAGCGUUGUUCGGAUUCAUUGGGCGUAAAGGGUGCGUAGGCGGCGCGGUAAGUCGGGUGUGAAAUCUCGGAGCUUAACUCCGAAACUGCAUUCGAUACUGCCGUGCUUGAGGACUGGAGAGGAGACUGGAAUUUACGGUGUAGCGGUGAAAUGCGUAGAUAUCGUAAGGAAGACCAGUGGCGAAGGCGGGUCUCUAGACAGUUCCUGACGCUGAGGCACGAAGGCCAGGGGAGCAAACGGG